AGAGUUUGAUCCUGGCUCAGGAUGAACGCUGGCGGCGUGCCUAACACAUGCAAGUCGAACGCGCUCCAUUCGGUAGCAAUACUGAUGAAGAGUGAGUGGCGAACGGGUGAGUAACACAUGAGCAACCUGCCCCGAAGACCGGGACAACACCGGGAAACCGGUGCUAAUACCGGAUAUCCCUAUCGGACCGCAUGAUCUGAUAAGGAAAUGGAUUCCGCUUCGGGAGGGGCUCGUGGCCUAUCAGCUAGUUGGUGGAGUAACGGCCCACCAAGGCAUCGACGGGUAGCUGGUCUGAGAGGACGAUCAGCCACACUGGGACUGAGACACGGCCCAGACUCCUACGGGAGGCAGCAGUGGGGAAUCUUGCGCAAUGGGCGAAAGCCUGACGCAGCAACGCCGCGUGGAGGACGAAGGCUUUCUGAGUUGUAAACUCCUUUCAGCAGGGACGAUAGUGACGGUACCUGCAGAAGAAGCACCGGCCAACUACGUGCCAGCAGCCGCGGUGAUACGUAGGGUGCAAGCGUUAUCCGGAUUUAUUGGGCGUAAAGAGCUCGUAGGCGGUUUGAUUAGUCGGGUGUGAAACCUCCAGGCUCAACCUGGAGCCGCCACUCGAUACUGUCAUGACUAGAAUUCGGUAGGGGACCACGGAAUUCCUGGUGUAGCGGUGAAAUGCGCAGAUAUCAGGAGGAACACCAGCAGCGAAGGCGGUGGUCUGGGCCGACAUUGACGCUGAGGAGCGAAAGCGUGGGGAGCGAACAGGAUUAGAUACCCUGGUAGUCCACGCCGUAAACGUUGGGCACUAGGUGUGGGGACUAUUCAACGGUUUCCGUGCCGCAGCUAACGCAUUAAGUGCCCCGCCUGGGGAGUACGGCCGCAAGGCUAAAACUCAAGGAAUUGACGGGGACCCGCACAAGCGGCGGAGCAUGUGGCUUAAUUCGAGGCAACGCGAAGAACCUUACCUGGGUUUGAACAU
rnacentral:rRNA from 1 species